UACAGAGGAGCCAAGCGUUGUCCGGAUUGACUGGGCGUAAAGCGCACGCAGGCGGAUGCGCGCGUGGGGUGUGAAAUCUGGCCGCUUAACGGCCAGGCGCCAUCCCAUACGGCGCGUCUGGAGUGAUGCAGAGGUCGAUGGAAUUGCCGGUGUAGCGGUGAAAUGCGUAGAGAUCGGCAGGAACACCCAGGGGGAAACCAGCCGACUGGGCAUCUACUGACGCUGAGGUGCGAGAGCGUGGGGAGCGAACCGG
rnacentral:rRNA from 1 species